rnacentral:rRNA from 1 species
CCUACGGGUGGCAGCAGUGAGGAAUAUUGGUCAAUGGGCGGGAGCCUGAACCAGCCAAGCCGCGUGAGGGAAGAAGGUACAGCGUAUCGUAAACCUCUUUUGUCAGGGAACAAAGGCGGGGACUAGUCCCCGUAUGAGAGUACCUGAAGAAAAAGCAUCGGCUAACUCCGUGCCAGCAGCCGCGGUAAUACGGAGGAUGCGAGCGUUAUCCGGAUUUAUUGGGUUUAAAGGGUGCGUAGGCGGAUUUUUAAGUCAGCGGUAAAAUGUCGGGGCUCAACCCGGGCCGGCCGUUGAAACUGGGGUUCUUGAGUGGGCGAGAAGUAUGCGGAAUGCGUGGUGUAGCGGUGAAAUGCAUAGAUAUCACGCAGAACUCCGAUUGCGAAGGCAGCAUACCGGCGCCCGACUGACGCUGAGGCACGAAAGCGUGGGGAUCGAACAGGAUUAGAUACCCUGGUAGUC